AAAGGGUUGCUGAUGAAGUUGCAAGGAAAGGAUGUGAAGGUUAUGAAUGCAUGGGAUACUUACCCAAUAGACGUUUUUAAAAAGGAAAUUUAAUAACAUCAAAAAUUUGUCAUCCCCUCGUUCCCACCCAAAAACCCUCGAGUCCAUCGUGAUAAUAUUAGGCAAAACACGCACACCCCCACCCUCUCCCAAAAACCUAUUUUUUCCAUCUCCCAACAUUUCUCUCUUCUCUCUCUGGACAUCCUGUUGCCCUUCUCUUUAUCUAGAAAUGGAGUCUCUUGACCCAGCUGCCUGCUUCAUGGACGACUUACUGGACUUUGCUUCUGAUAUAGGAGAGGAAGAAGAUGAAGAAGACCACAACAAACCCAGAAAGGCCCUUCCUCCCUUUAAGCCCCCACCAAAUGGCCUUGCCGUUCCCCCUCCUCCUUUCGAUGUUUUCGACCACCCAGAUGAUUCUACCCGUCCGUUACCUGUAAGUUUAUGCCUCCAUCAUCAUCGUCAUAGCUUUUUUAUCUUCCUUUUAAGGGUUAUAAGGGCUCAAAACUACCCAGUUACGUCGUCUUGCGGGUGUUUUUGGGCUCGAAUCGCCCUGACUCGGCUGGUCUUUCCUAGGGUUGUUGCCGAGUUAACUCGGGCGGUUGUGUCCGAGUUUUUAAGCCAGAAUGACUCGCCUUGACGGCGACUCGGCCGAGUCAAAGUAGACGGCAUUGAAUGGUACACGCACUGAUAUUUUUUGAACAAGUUGUUGAUGACUCUCUGAUUUGAUUUUGUUUCUUUUAGAUAGCCACCCUCACACUGUUGCUUUGAAUGGACAAUUCUGACCACUUGGAACUUUCGGAUUUACGAACACGUGAGAGUAAAAAGUGGGAUGUUUUUUGAGGGUACUUAUGACAAUUCAAAGGUUUAAUGGUUCUUAAUUGUCGUGAGCUGUGGUUCACGAGGUUAGACUUGUACUCAAUAAAUGUCCAGCAAAAUUUAACCUUUCUCUGGCUGUAAAUUGACAAGGGCACUCACCCCCCACUUGAAAAGACAACAUCAUCCUAAGGCUUAUAAAAAAUCUCCACUGUGCCUCAACAGUUCAACACCUUAUUUCAGCUAAGGCCAAUAUAUCACAUGGGUGGCCCACAUGAAAAUGGGGCCCCCAAUUAUAGACAGUACGAGUCCUUCGAGUUACUGAGUUAACAUUUGUCAACUCGUGCCCUUUUUCUUAUCUCAAAUGGGGUUUUAUGGGGUUCUGGAUUCUAAUAUUUCCCAUUUUCGUUCAGGAAUUUGCAGAGGAAGAGCUUGAAUGGUUAUCUAACAAAGACGCCUUCCCAGCCGUGGAAACAUUUGUCGACAUUUUGUCGGAGAACCCGGGUAGCCUCCCCAAGCACCGGAGCCCAGUUUCGGUGCUGGAGAACAGCAGUACAAGCAGCACCAGCAACAGCGGGAAUAGCGGCACAAAUGGCAGCGUUAUAAUGAAUUACUGCCGCAGUCCUCAGGUGCCUGUCAAGGCCAGAAGCAAGCAUCACCGCCGGCGGCGCCGCGACCUCCAAGCCCAACAGUGCUGGUGGAGUCUGGAGAAUUUGAAGACAGUGAAGCCAUCCGUAACAUCAUCGACAAUGGGUAGAAAAUGCCAGCAUUGCGGUGCUGAAAAGACCCCUCAAUGGCGGGCCGGGCCGCUGGGGCCCAAAACCUUGUGCAAUGCCUGUGGAGUGAGGUAUAAGUCCGGGCGGCUAGUGCCCGAGUACCGGCCCGCAAGUAGCCCGACGUUCUGCGUUGAAUUGCAUUCAAAUUCGCAUAGGAAAGUUAUGGAGAUGAGGAAGCAAAAGCAGAUGAUGGGAUUGAUGGUUGUAAAACCUAUGGAGAAAGGUUAGGGCAGCAGUGAUUGGCGCCCCUCUUUUUUUUUUUGGUUUUUCUGUUUAC
rnacentral:misc_RNA from 1 species